ACAAGAACAAGCCAAGCUCCGGGUUCAACGGAGCUGCCAUUUCCUCACAUGGUUUCUAUGUAACCAAAAGCCAUGUUUACUACGGGACAAGUUCGAAUUCACUGGGAAGCAAAUUCCAUGUGACUAAUGAUUCCCUCCCUUUCCCAGGGAGUUAUUAUGUUUUAAAUAUUCCUGGGGGGUGAAGCAGGAUUCGUGAUGGUGAUACCAGCAGGUGACAAAUGCAGCCGAAGGCAGAGGAACUCACACAAGACACCAUUUUCCAGGAAUUUCUACAAAGGAUCAGGGGAAUGUGUGUCUUUACAGACUGCUCAUCCAGGAGCCCCAAACCACCAAAGAUACAGAAAAGAUGACAACCAGAAAAAUCUGCUAGCAUGUCUUUCGAGCAAUUCUCUAGCAUGAUAGCACAUCAGUUUAGAACAAUUUGUUCACUCCCAACAUCACAACCUGCUGCCCUGGUUCUAUGGCAGUUUUCUCAUACAGAUUACUUUUGGAGGACAACUCAGUAUGUGACUUCUCCACAGAGGCACUUCCUUUCAGCUUUAACUCAGUUUCCUGCUUCAUCAAGCUUCCCAGUGAUUACCUCUGCAUUGGUAUUUGUAGGUCUUGAUGUACAGGUGUCUCUUUUCUCAAAAUUAUUCCUCAUUUCCAGCUCCAUUCUUCUGGAUAUUUCUUUCCCAUCAAUUCAUGUGGCCUCUUCACAACAGGGUGGCAUGAUUUGUCUUUUAAGACCAGGAAUAAGGGGAUCAGAUUUGGUCCCAGUUCUGCCAGGACCAAGGACAAGACCUCUUUUUCGUCCCUCAGUCUGUGCACGGACUCCUACAUCAAACCUUUCUUGACCUUUGGGUAGAGGGAUUGCUUUCCCUUGCUUCUGUUUUCAUGUCUCUCACUCUGCAUUUACACCUACUUGUUUAUGUGUCUAUUCCCUCUACUCAAGUGUGAGCUUUGCACAGUGAGGGUCCUAUGCACAGCUGGGUUCCCAGUCUGUGCUAUGUAUUAGGAGUUCAACGGACAUUUUGAAAUAAUGAAUGGACAAUCAAUAUAGGAUGCAUGGUGUUUGAUCUAGUUCUUAAUGCUCCCAGCUUCUGUUGACACUGUGACAACACUGUGCUGGGUGAAAUAGCGUGGACUCGACUCUCCUGGGUCUACAACUGUUAUCAUCAUUGGAUGAAUGUGGUCUCUGGCUCCAACACUUCCUACAGCAAUUUCAUUUUUUAUCUCAUCUCUCCUCCACUUUCGAAACACUGUGACAGUUGGGCCUCACUGGAUGCAAAGAGACAGUAUUAAGAGAAGAAGGAUGAUCCAUAUCAAAUCUUUCUACUCUGACAAGAUAAAAAGCUUUUGCUCUCUUAGAGAUCAGUGAAUCAAAAGAGACCUCGGGAGUGGCCUUGUAUUUGGUCCUAGACAUCUUUUAAUCCGAAUGGAAAAUAAACAAUUGAAGGUGGAAACUUUCACUGCAAGAACAGAUAGAACAAGUGGAGGGAAAUGAAGCCCGAUCUCAAAAUGAUGCAUCUGCGGGGAGAGAGAUCAAACACAUGGACUUAGAGGCAAGGAAACAGUGAGGGCAAGGGGUGGUCUGCCUGAGAAAUCCCUACAAGGUACAUCUGCAAAUCUUUCUGGAUUAGGAAGGCCUCAUGGCUCCCAGAAGACAAGAAUCAAGAAUUGUAAAUGAUAAAAUUAGAACGGUACUGAACAUGUUUAUGAGAAAUGAAUCUGGGUGGGGGGGAAGAAGUGCUCGCAUAAUAUACAUUGCUUGCCAAAAAGAAAAUAUAUUUGCAGACAUCUCAUUGAAGCUACAAGGGAAAAAAUGC